rnacentral:rRNA from 1 species
CUAGCAUGUGUGCGAGUCAUUGGGUAUUUUGAAAACCUAAAGGCGUAAUUAACUUAACCUAUAUAUUUUUAAUGGGAUUAAUUAUAUAUUUUUAAUACUAAAAUAUAAAUUCCAUCCCGGGGCGUUCUAUAUAGUUAUGCAUUUUAAUAUAUUUUUAUAUAUUUUAUAUGCCUCUAACUAGAGCGUACCUUGAGCAUAUAUGUUGUGACCCGAAAGAUGGUGAACUAUACCUGAUCAGGUUGAAGUCAGGGGAAACCCUGAUGGAAGACCGAAACAGUUCUGACGUGCAAAUCGAUUGUCAGAAUUGGGUAUAGGGGCGAAAGACCAAUCGAACCAUCUAGUAGCUGGUUCCCUCCGAAGUUUCCCUCAGGAUAGCUGGUGCAUAUAAAUAUUAUAUGAAAUAAUCUUAUCUGGUAAAGCGAAUGAUUAGAGGCAUUAGGGCCGAAACGACCUUAACCUAUUCUCAAACUUUAAAUGGGUAAGAACCUUGCCUUUCUUGAUAUGAAGGUUAAGGUUGUGAUAUAUUGUGCCCAGUGGGCCACUUUUGGUAAGCAGAACUGGCGCUGUGGGAUGAACCAAACGUAAUGUUACGGUGCCCAAAUUAACAACUCAUACUGAUACCAUGAAAGGCGWUGCUUGCUUAAAACAGCAGGACGGUGGACAUGGAAGYCGYAAUCCGCUAAGGAGUGUGUAACAACUCACCUGCCGAAGCAACUAGCCCUUAAAAUGGAUGGCGCUCAAGUUGUAUGCCUAUACAUUACCGCUAAAAUAUAUGAUUUAUAAAUAUAUAUUUAUAAAUUUUGAAAUUUUAGUGAGUAGGAGGGUACAAUGGUGUGCGUAGAAGUGUUUGGCGUAAGCCUACAUGGAGCCGCCAUUGGUACAGAUCUUGGUGGUAGUAGCAAAUAAUCGAAUGAGACCUUGGAGGACUGAAGUGGAGAAGGGUUUCGUGUGAACAGUGGUUGAUCACGAGUUAGUCGGUCCUAAGUUCAAGGCGAAAGCCGUAAAAUUUUGAGUUUUUCUUAUUAUUAUAUAAUACUUUUAAUUUUUUCUGAACGAAAGGGAAUACGGUUCCAAUUCCGUAACCUGUUGAGUAUACGUUUGUUAUUAAAAAUGGGCUUUUAUGCUCAUCCUGGUAACAGAAACAACCAUAAAGAAGCCGUCGAGAGAUAUCGGAAGAGUUUUCUUUUCUGUUUUAUAGUCGUACUACCAUGGAAGUCUUUCGAAGAGAGAUAUGGUAGAUGGACUAGAAGAGCAUGGCAUUUACUGCUGUGUCGAUAUUUUCUCCUCGGACCUUGAAAAUUUAUGGUAGGGUCACGCAAACUUCUUAACAGGCCGUACCGAUAUCCGCAGCUGGUCUCCAAGGUGAAGAGUCUCUAGUCGAUAGAAUAAUGUAGGUAAGGGAAGUCAA